AAUAAAAUAAUAAUAAUAAUAAUAAUAAUAAUAAUACAGAAGUUUGGAACAGUAGAAGUAAAAUCUGAACGGAGGUCAUCUCAAAGUCAUUCACUUUUCAAGGACAGAGUCGGGGAUCUGUUCCAACUAGCUUCCGAUGGAACAAUUUAAUCACCUAGACCAGUUAGCCCUUAAAAACAAAGUAAGCCACGCAGACAGUUAAUGCUGGGCUUGGUCGGGCUUCAAAAGCUGGCUGCUCCGGGAAGCGACCCGUCUGAGGCACAUGGAGGGCUCGGCACCUGCAUGAACAGACCCGGCAGCCCUCGGCGGCGCGGCAGGGCAAGCACUGUUUCGGAGAGUGGUGACUCAGCGCUGAGUCAGACAAGCACUACGUGCGGCUGCCAGCACCGGCUCCGCGGCUGCCGGGAUUGGUGACGUCCAGGAUCCACAGCCCGGGAAGGGGCCCACGUGACCCCCGUUUCCAGGGCUUAGACUGACGCUUUCAUCCGCUGUGUUUCCUCAGAUCUGAGAUUCCACUUGCUCUGGCGGGGUUGUUUGUUUGUUUGUUUGUUUUGGUUUGGUGGGUUUUGUUUUGUUUUAGUAUGAGCUUAGAUUUUUAAUAACCGGACACCCAUUUUCCUGGCAGGGGAGUGACAUGGUGAUAUUUUUUUAAUAGUUGCCAAUCUUUUAAAUGAGGCAUCAGAAGAAUGAGAUAGUAAAACAAAAGCAUGUGUUGCAAAUGAUGCGUCAAAUCAUCCCAUGACUUUGAGGCUGAAUUAAUGUGGCCGCGGUGGAAGCCCUGAACAUUGGGUAACCAUGGAAAGUCUUUAGGAUCUGAUUUGCUGUGUUAAAGGAAGCAAAUCUUUGUUCUUUGUUCAACCACUCUCUAAUAAAGGAUUCCAAAAGCUGGAGACAUAUUUGUUACAGAGAGCCCUGGCAGUGCACUUGGGUAUUUGGCCUUCUAGCAUCCUGUUAGGAUUGUGCCAAGCGUGGUGGUGAUGGUUUUGGCGAUGCUGUGUCGAAAGCCAACAGUGGGUUUUGCAAGGUUCAGUGCAUCUGGUCAAUAAGAAAAGCCAGUGACAGGGCAAGUAAUAACUACUUAGGGACACCUUUGAGCUGAUUUUUAAGACAAUCACACUAGGUCUUUAGAACCCGUGCCAACUGUUGCCAAUUGUUCUGCAGAUUCGGGAAAAAUCUAUCUAUCCUUGUGGAUCUCCGUGUGCGUGUGAGACCAUGCACAACUGUGGAGGCGCCUUCUGUUCAGAAUGUUUUCUUGCAAGGAAGAACUUCGAGGUUUCAUUGGCUCUCCAAGCUUAUGUAUAGGUCUCAGAACCUUCAUGGUGCUUGCUUCCCCUUCUGGACUUUUGUUUAAGUAACUGAAUGACAUGUGGUGUUAAUCCUCUCCUCUCUGUGUGCUCAAACACAACUCCAUCUCAAUGUACAGGUAAAGUCCUAUCUUCUCUGGGAGGCCAAACCUAAUGGAUCUCACUCCAUAUAGGACUAAUAAAAUAUAUACACUGUCUAUGUCCCAGCUUCUUCCUUUUUAAACAAUUUAUUCUUGUUAUUAUUAUUUGCAGUAUUGGAGAGUUAACACACAUGUGCUGGUAGGCAAGCAGUAUGCCACUCCUAGGCUCUGUUUAAUCCCUUUUGGUCCUUGAGCGAGCAGCCUUUGUAGGCAGUUUGUUGGAAAAAGUAGUAGGAUGUAAUCUACACCCUCCCCUGUUAACAAAAUCAACAAGGAAUAAAUGAGAGUUCCUAACAUCUGUAUCCAGGAAACAAUAAACAUGGCUCCUGCCCCACGUUUAAAUUAUUAUUUGAAUUUUCCUUGGAGAAGGAGAAAGAAAUAGCCCAUGAAACAUAUGUAAGAGCAACCUAGACUCCUCCCUUUCAGAAUUUCUUUUCUACUUUAGGAAACAAAGUCAAGAAAGGAAUUCCAGGGCACAGUAGGACUAUCUUUGACUGUUGAAGAACAUCCUUGCUGGGUGCCUUGUUGGAUCAAAUAGGCCAUGAACCACUAAUAUAAUGAAUGACCCUGGAGGCCUGAGUGAGAAAGAAACCAUCAAAGGGAGAGAGGGUGUCACCAAAGGAUGACGGUGGAGACAACCUAAUCAUUGGUCCCUAACCAAGAUAUUCCUAGAUCGCCUCUGGGAUUUUCCACAGCCAGACCAGAGUCUACAGCUGGUAUUCAUCUUGGUAGAGAAGCACUUGUUUUCAGUAUCCUUCGCAAUUUCCUGGAUGCUGAAGAAAGUUGAGUAAUAUAAAACAAAUCUUUCCCAUGUCUUCAAAUGUCCAAGUUGUCUCAGUGUUGAAGAUGGUCAUCUAUGACUGCACAUUUAUUCCACAGGUAUACACAAUUCCAUGAUUCUGAAUCCAGGGUGACUCACUCAAUCUGCAUUUCCAAAUGAGUACUGAAGAACUCUGGAAAUUUUGGAUAGGCUAUCAGUACGUGCCACAGGGUAUUUGUUCCUGACAUGAACAGUGUGCCUACUGGAAUAGUUGCUAAAUGUCACUCUGCACAUGACUUUUCUUCUUAGCAAGGUACUUAGCUAGGAGAGAUCUGUGUGAAUUAGGGCAGCCCUAAUUUACUGCCAUCUGGCCAGGUACAUUCAUGCUUACUCAUGGAGCCAAGACAGGCUUGCCUCUAGCUAAAUGUUUCCCUGGGGAAAAUGUACCUUCUAAUGGAAUAGGAAGAAAACUUUCAAGAUCUAGAAAUGAAAAUUCAAGAGAUGAAAAUGAAUCUAACAAUAAUCUUGAAAGAAUUUAGAAGACCCACUGUUAGUAUGUUGCUACAGGUUGCAUUGAUAUGGGAAUGGCUCUACUUGAACAAUAAACCAUUCACUGCAUGACUAAAGCCAGGGCUGGUUAAUGAUACUUACAUAGCUGAUGGACUUUGUGCCUCCAAUGAGAUCCUCACCUUUCUACAAUAUCUCUUGAGGCAGACUCACACAAUAUCAUCCAUUAUCACCCAGUUUAGAUGAAGUAACUGUAUCAAAAGAUUACAUGAUUUAUUGAGCCACCCAGAAACAAGGCCAACUUUAAUGCCUCUGUCACCAAACACAAUAAGACCACGAGGGAUAACAAUCAGAUUUUAUUACCCAGGGGCUGGCACGCCUACAGGCUUUGAGUUUUAAUGGCAUGAGGAUGGAAAUAGGUUUACACAGCCUUUUUUUUUUUUUUUUUUUUUGGUUUUUUGAAACAGGGUUUCUCUAUGUAGCUUUGGAGCCUAUCCUGGCACUCGCUCUGGAGACCAGGCUGGCCUCGAACUCACAGAGAUCUGCCUGCCUCUGCCUCCUGAGUGCUGGGAUUAAAGGCGUGCACCACCAAUGCCCGGAAACACAGCCAUUUUUUUAUAAGUCUCUCUAUGUAGCCCUGCUUAGACUGAACUGCCUGCCUCUUCCACCCAAGUGCCACUAUGCCCAGUCUGCCCCGCCACUCCUGAAUAAGAGUCAAGAGAUACUUGGGCCAGAAGUUUUUGUGAAUCACUUGGACCAGAAGGAAGCCAUAGAGAAUUUGCUGUUGAUAGGGACUGCUACCACAGUAAACAGUUGCUUACUGUGACAGGGAUGUCUCCAACCUAGAUAGUGGCACAUACCAGUAAAUCCUAGCACUUUGGAAGUUGAGACAAAAUGAUAGUAAAUUUGAGGGUAGCCUGAACUACAUAGCAACACUGUCUCAAUCCUCCUCCCCCAAAUUAACUAAUUAAAGUUAAAAAAGAAAAUGGAUGUUCUAUAAUAAACUUACUUCAUGAUCAGUUCUUCUACAGGAGCCCUGCCCAGGAGAUGUGCUUCAAGCAGAGCUCUUCAGUGAGUGGUAGGGUGCUCAAGCAUGCUGUGCCUCCAAGUGCAUCUGCAAAGAAGAAGCCUCCACCUUUGUGAACCUUUGGGCUGCUCACCAUCCUUCCACCAAAGUGAGGGAUGAUGUCUGGGGAACCUGCUUUCUUCAUUUGAGAUGUAAAUUUCUAUUUUGGAUCAUGAGAAACUUUGCUUUGGACUUUCCUCAAAUUCAGAGAUACAUAACCCUUUCCAAGCACACAUUCUCAACAAUAAACAAAUGAGUGACAUAAAAUCAAAAUAUAGGCAGGGACAGUGACUCAUAGCUGUAAUUUCAUCACUCAGGAGGCAAAUACAGAAGGUUUGCCUGAAUUUGAAGGCAGCUUGGGCUACAGUAUGAUACCUUGUUCCCAAAACCUAAUAUGUUGCAUAAAUAUUUUCCUAAUUAGCUUUAGUUUGACACAGCCCUAGAGUCACCUGAGAAAGGAGUCUUGACUGAGGGAUUGCCCAGCUCCUAUUACUCCAUGGAUGUAUCUGGAGGGAACUGAUUGUUUUCAUUGUUAAUUGAUGUGGAAGGGCCCAGCCAGUUGUGGUGGCACCAUUCUAUAAGCAAGUAGUCCUGGACUGAAAAAGAACAUCAGCUAAGCAUGAGUCUGCAAGCCAGCUACCAAGUACUACUUCUCUAUGGUUGCUGCCUCGAGUUCCUGCUCUGACUUCCCUCUGUGAUGAACUGUCACCUGUAAGGUGGAAUAAACUUGCUCUCCUCUGAGUUCUAUUUGGUCAAAGAGUUUUAUCAUAUCAACAAAAUGAAACCAGAACACACACACACACACACACACACACACACACACACACACACAGAGAGAGAGAGAGAGAGAGAGAGAGAGAGAGAGAGAGAGAGAGGUUCACGUUAAAUAACAACACUGACAAUCCUCUGUCCAAACAUUCCUUAGCCUUUAAAUACAGUAAUAGGAGUUGUAUGUGACAUACAUACAUACAUACAUACAUACAUACAUACAUACACACAUACAUACAGGUAAUUAUACCAAUCAAAAAUUCAAACAGUCCGGCUGGAGAGAUGGUUCAGUAGUUAAGAGCACCGGCUGCUCUUCCAGAGGUCCUGAGUUCAAUUCCCAGCAACCACAUGUGGCUCAUAACCAUCCAUAGUGAGAUCUGGUGCCCUCUUCUGGCCUGCAGGCAUACAUACAGACAUAACAUUGUACAUAAUAAAUAAAUAAAUCUUUAAAAAUUUCAGACAGUCAAAAUUCACACAUACAAUGGUAAGAAUAACUUAUUAUUUAAUAAUGAUAAUAAUUAUGAUGAUCGUGUUGGUGUUGAUGAUGAUAAAUAGUAUUUACUAAAUGCUCAAUGGUUGUAUCUCAUUUAAUCAUGGCAAAAAUAGCCACAGCACUACCGUUCUUAGUUUACAGAAGUAGAGCCUCAGGCUAAGGAAGUUGCCUGAAGUCAUCUAGCUGUUAUGUGGAUGAGCCAUGAUUUAAGUCUAGGUCUGUAUGCCUGUCAGGCCUGCCAUACUAUGAAAAGCACAGACAAGACACUCAUUCAGUCAUGCAUGUGUCUAUGCAUAUCACAGUGAACAAAAAAUUCCCACAUAAAGACAUGAAGGGCUGUGGCUUGCUGUCAUUGAUUUGACAUAACCCAGCUCAAGAGCCCAACAUCCACUGCCAGUAAAGAGCUGUGUUUUAUUCAGAUCUCAUUCUCUUUAUAAUUUUUCCUUUGGGUUAUUCUUCUCUACCUUCUCUUGCUACCAUAUGAGGAAUGCAUACUAAGGAAAAAGAAGAGAAAGAGAAAGAGGGGGGAGCCAGAAGAUGGAGGGUGUUAAUGAGAUUGAACAUGAAUCUUGUUGGAGCCAAGUGGGCAUCCGGGGACCUGGCUGGCUCUACUUUUGAUCUCUGCUGGUCUAAUUGGUCCCAUUGAUCUCUGAUGUUGAUGCCCAGUAUGUAAGUUGUAGAUGUAUCUGUCAGGGCUACACAUUCUGUCUCCCACUCUCACAGGCUCCUUUGGGUGCCAUAGCUGCUCAUUCCCAGUGCCCCUUUUAAAAACUGUAGUAUUAUUCAGGUACAGAAACACUUGUCUGUAAUUCCAGAUACUAGGGAGGUGAAGGCAAGAGGACCAACAAUUGGAGCCAGUAUAGGCAAGAUAGCAAGGCCUGUCUCAUCUCUAAAUAAUAGACAAAAAGCUAUUAAUUAUAUUAUGAAAAAAACUUGCCCCGUGGUAUGGCUCCCUCAGAUUAUCCCUCAUCCCUAGACAUUGCAUAGCUUUGUUGCAUGUGUCAUUUCUCUGGGUCAUGUCCCUUCAAACUGUUCUUUGAGACGAAAAGCAAAUCUUCUAUAUUCCCCAUAUCCAGUCUUAACACUGUGUGAAGUUUCCACAAUGUUAAACAGGUAGGUUAAGCGGCCCUGCUAAGAAACAUCUGACGCCAGGGGUCUACUCACCGGAUCCGAACACGGUAAUGGGAUCCAGUCCACCUGGACACUGCCCAAGGCCCAGUGGCAGUUCCCCCUCCAUCCACUGGCCCAAUCCCGCCUCCAUCCACUGGCCCAGUUAUGCCAGGGGUGUUUCUGGUUCUGGUUAAGCAGCACUGCUAGGAAACAUCUGAUGCCACGGGCUUGCUCACUGGAUCACACCCAGACACUGCCAAGGCCCUGGUAACAGUGCCACCUCCAUCCACGACAAGAGGACAGACAUCAGAGUAUUGGAACUGUUUGCAUCUACCAGAAGGGAACCUUGGUCCCAUACCCAUCAGGAGAGAAAGAGACUCCUGCUACACCCACCAGAAGAAAGGAUGAGAAGAAGACAAUGUAAAAGCACAUUCAACAACAGAAAACCCAAUAUGACACCACCUGAGACUAGGAACCAUACACCAGUAAGACCUCAACAUCACGAUGCAGAUGAACCAGAAGAGAAUGACCUUAAAAACAUCUUCAUGAAAAUGAUAGAGGACCUCAAAUAGGACA
rnacentral:lncRNA from 1 species